rnacentral:rRNA from 1 species
CUACGGGAGGCACCAGUGGGGAAUAUUGCACAAUGGGGGAAACCCUGAUGCAGCCAUGCCGCGUGUGUGAAGAAGGCUUUCGGGUUGUAAAGCACUUUCAGUGGGGAGGAAAGGGUGCAGAUUAAUACUCUGUAUCUGUGACGUUACCCACAGAAGAAGCACCGGCUAACUCCGUGCCAGCAGCCGCGGUAAUACGGAGGGUGCGAGCGUUAAUCGGAAUUACUGGGCGUAAAGCGCGCGUAGGUGGUUAAUUAAGUCAGAUGUGAAAGCCCAGGGCUCAACCCUGGAACAGCAUUUGAAACUGGUUAACUAGAGUUUUGUAGAGGGUGGUAGAAUUUCAGGUGUAGCGGUGAAAUGCGUAGAGAUCUGAAGGAAUACCAGUGGCGAAGGCGGCCACCUGGACAGAGACUGACACUGAGGCGCGAAGGCGUGGGGAGCAAACGGGAUUAGAUACCCGGGUAGUC